UACGUAGGUGGCGAGCGUUGUCCGGAUUUACUGGGCGUAAAGAGCGCGCAGGCGGUCGUACAAGUCGCGUGUGAAAGCCCCCGGCUCAACUGGGGAGGGUCACGCGAUACUGUUCGACUCGAAGGCAGGAGAGGGAAGUGGAAUUCCCGGUGUAGUGGUGAAAUGCGUAGAUAUUGGGAAGAACACCGAUGGCGAAGGCAGCCAUCUGGACCGACACUGACGCUGAGGCGCGAAAGCGUGGGGAGCAAACAGG
rnacentral:rRNA from 1 species